GGUAGAGACCCUGGGAACCAGACCAGGCGGGCUCACAAAGUAUGAAGAGAAUGUCGGGAGAGGAAGUGGUGGCUCUGAGUCAGCACGAGUCAUCUGGUUCCAGUGACAAUGAAGACUGAGGUGUCUGCUUUGCAGUUUUUUUUUUUCUUUUCUUGUCUUUUUUUUUUUUUUUCCUAAUCAUGUGGACAUCUCUGAGAAUGAGGGGACUGGGUGACUUUGCAGUGUCUGCUUUCUAAGUUUCAAAGUGACUUUCCAGGCAAGCUGCGCAUAUCUUGGGAUCUUCACAGCACAGUGGCUGGGAAGGCAGGCGGACCCGUCUAUCAGCUUCUCCCUGGUGGGAUUCUUGCGGGGGCAGGGAUCGAGUCAAACCUUGGAAAUGACGUCAUUCUGAACUCAUCUGCCUUUAUCCAGAAGACUACCAAAGCAAACCAGAGGACCAGAGAACAGCAGCUGCUCUGGACAAAGAGGGGAGGACACCCACACCCACAUACCAAGUUCUGGUUGACUUCUACAGCAGAAGAAGCAGGAGACACAAGAAGGGGAAGACACAAGGAAGCUGGGCAUGAUGGCCAAGUGUUAGAGGGUUACACUACUGCCUUCUGCUUCUGAUCUGAUUGAGUCACAGCUGAGAUGUGGCACCAGGACUCUUGGCUACACUCAGUUCUCUCAGUUUGACUGAGUACUCUGGGAUCACAGAAGUGACUACAUGAUGUUCUAUGAUUCUAGGCUUUAGUAAGAAGGCCUUCGGAAUCUCCAAAGAAACCAAACGUGUACGUGGGAAGAAGUGUACUUGGUUCGUGUGAUUAUGGAGUCUGACAAGUUCAAAAUCUUCAGUGAGAGCUGUCUGGCUGUAUUCACGAAGAACCGAUGCCAUACUGUCUGGCUGGCAUUAGAGCCCUCUGGAUGCUGUGUGAGCUGCAUGUGAGUUUUGUGAGUUAUGAGUCACAGGUGGCUCCAACCCUGCUUUCUGUCCUUCAGUCUCCCAUUCAGCACCCAACAGAAGAUGCUAGGCACCACUCUGCAUCCUCAAGGGAUAUCGUAUGAAGCAAGAGGCAGGUUUUCUUGGGUCCACAGCAACAUCAAAAAAGAGCAAAACGGACAUGCAAAUAAAUCUAUUUUAGCAUUUGAGACAGACGUCCAACUGAGGAACAUGAUCAGAAGAUGCCAGCCAGUAUAAACAUAUUUUGAAAAUAUGUAUUUCAUUUCUUAUAUAUGUACAUUUGUUCUCGUCGAAAAUAAAGAUCAAAUCAAAUUUCA
rnacentral:lncRNA from 1 species